rnacentral:rRNA from 1 species
UUAAGCGACUAAGCGUACACGGUGGAUGCCCUGGCAGUCAGAGGCGAUGAAGGACGUGCUAAUCUGCGAUAAGCGUCGGUAAGGUGAUAUGAACCGUUAUAACCGGCGAUUUCCGAAUGGGGAAACCCAGUGUGUUUCGACACACUAUCAUUAACUGAAUCCAUAGGUUAAUGAGGCGAACCGGGGGAACUGAAACAUCUAAGUACCCCGAGGAAAAGAAAUCAACCGAGAUUCCCCCAGUAGCGGCGAGCGAACGGGGAGCAGCCCAGAGCCUGAAUCAGUGUGUGUGUUAGUGGAAGCGUCUGGAAAGGCGCGCGAUACAGGGUGACAGCCCCGUACACAAAAAUGCACAUGCUGUGAGCUCGAUGAGUAGGGCGGGACACGUGGUAUCCUGUCUGAAUAUGGGGGGACCAUCCUCCAAGGCUAAAUACUCCUGACUGACCGAUAGUGAACCAGUACCGUGAGGGAAAGGCGAAAAGAACCCCGGCGAGGGGAGUGAAAAAGAACCUGAAACCGUGUACGUACAAGCAGUGGGAGCACGCUUAGGCGUGUGACUGCGUACCUUUUGUAUAAUGGGUCAGCGACUUAUAUUCUGUAGCAAGGUUAACCGAAUAGGGGAGCCGAAGGGAAACCGAGUCUUAACUGGGCGUUAAGUUGCAGGGUAUAGACCCGAAACCCGGUGAUCUAGCCAUGGGCAGGUUGAAGGUUGGGUAACACUAACUGGAGGACCGAACCGACUAAUGUUGAAAAAUUAGCGGAUGACUUGUGGCUGGGGGUGAAAGGCCAAUCAAACCGGGAGAUAGCUGGUUCUCCCCGAAAGCUAUUUAGGUAGCGCCUCGUGAAUUCAUCUCCGGGGGUAGAGCACUGUUUCGGCAAGGGGGUCAUCCCGACUUACCAACCCGAUGCAAACUGCGAAUACCGGAGAAUGUUAU